UUGUAUUCCUUACCUCCACCUUCCAUAGUUUAAAUUCUGUUUCACGUGCUCCGUUCAUUGCGUGUUGGACGCUGUUCGUCCCAGAAUAAGCUAACUGUGAAUAGCUGUGCCGCUGCGACUGGAACGAAGAACAAUGAUGGGACUUUCACAUUUCCUUCUGUGGAGUCUACUGAUGACCGUCUUGUUGGUGGUCGUCGGAGGAUGCAAAACCUUGGGACAAGCAUGUAAUAUUUCAUUAAUGGGAGACUGUUGCGAAGGAUUGAUUUGUAAACUGACGAGUAUUUUCUCAACCCAGUGUUUGUGAUAAUUUCUUAGAAUGUAAUUUUUAAUUAAUUCUUUGUCUUCA